GUGGGGAAUUUUGGACAAUGGGCGAAAGCCUGAUCCAGCCAUGCCGCGUGCAGGAUGAAGGCCUUCGGGUUGUAAACUGCUUUUGUACGGAACGAAAAGACUCCUUCUAAUAAAGGGGGUCCAUGACGGUACCGUAAGAAUAAGCACCGGCUAACUACGUGCCAGCAGCCGCGGUAAUACGUAGGGUGCAAGCGUUAAUCGGAAUUACUGGGCGUAAAGCGUGCGCAGGCGGUUAUAUAAGACAGAUGUGAAAUCCCCGGGCUCAACCUGGGAACUGCAUUUGUGACUGUAUAGCUAGAGUACGGUAGAGGGGGAUGGAAUUCCGCGUGUAGCAGUGAAAUGCGUAGACAUGCGGAGGAACACCGAUGGCGAAGGCAAUCCCCUGGGCCUGCACUGACGCUCAUGCACGAAAGCGUGGGGAGCAAACAGGAUUAGAUACCCCAGUAGUCU
rnacentral:rRNA from 1 species